rnacentral:rRNA from 1 species
GAUGAACGCUGGCGGCGUGCCUAAUACAUGCAAGUCGAGCGAACAGACGAGGAGCUUGCUCCUCUGACGUUAGCGGCGGACGGGUGAGUAACACGUGGAUAACCUACCUAUAAGACUGGGAUAACUUCGGGAAACCGGAGCUAAUACCGGAUAAUAUAUUGAACCGCAUGGUUCAAUAGUGAAAGACGGUUUUGCUGUCACUUAUAGAUGGAUCCGCGCCGCAUUAGCUAGUUGGUAAGGUAACGGCUUGCCAAGGCAACGAUGCGUAGCCGACCUGAGAGGGUGAUCGGCCACACUGGAACUGAGACACGGUCCAGACUCCUACGGGAGGCAGCAGUAGGGAAUCUUCCGCAAAGGGCGAAAGCUUGACGGAGCAACGCCGCGUGAGUGAUGAAGGUCUUCGGAUCGUAAAACUCUGUUAUUAGGGAAGAACAAAUGUGUAAGUAACUAUGCACGUCUUGACGGUACCUAAUCAGAAAGCCACGGCUAACUACGUG